CAGUCGCCACGGUAAUACGUAGGGUGCAAGCGUUAAUCGGAAUUACUGGGCGUAAAGCGUGCGCAGGCGGUUAUAUAAGACAGAUGUGAAAUCCCCGGGCUCAACCUGGGAACUGCAUUUGUGACUUUAUAGCUAGAGUACGGCAGAGGGGGAUGGAAUUCCGCGUGUAGCAGUGAAAUGCGUAGAUAUGCGGAGGAACACCGAUGGCGAAGGCAAUCCCCUGGGCCUGUACUGACGCUCAUGCACGAAAGCGUGGGGAGCAAACAGGAUUAGAUACCCCCGUAGUCCCUGUCUCUUAUAC
rnacentral:rRNA from 1 species